AACGAACGCUGGCGGCGUGCUUAACACAUGCAAGUCGAACGAGAAAUCCCGGGCAACUGGGAGAGUAAAGUGGCGCACGGGUGAGUAACGCGUGGGUAACCUACCCUUGAAUUGGGGAUAACUCUUCGAAAGGGGAGUUAAUACCGAAUAAUAUUCCGAUUCCUACGGGGGUUGGAAUCAAAGAUGGCCUCUGCAUGCAAGCUAUCGUUUAAGGAUGGGCCCGCGUGCCAUUAGCUAGUUGGUAGGGUAAUGGCCUACCAAGGCUGCGAUGGUUAGCUGGUCUAAGAGGAUGGCCAGCCACACUGGAACUGAGACACGGUCCAGACUCCUACGGGUGGCAG
rnacentral:rRNA from 1 species